GGUAGAGAACAAGUCAGACUGCCUAAAGCACAGGGCUCCCAUUCCAUUCCUGCUCUUAAAGAGACAGCUCCAGCCACCACCCCACCACUGACAGGAGCUCCCUGGGGUCCAAGACUGAGGUGGUGGCCAACUACAAGCUCUGGAUGGAGAGUCCGCCAGCAAUGUGGGAAAGGCCCAAGCAAGCACUAGGCAACCAGAUCAGAAGGCCUCCUGGCUCAAAGCCCUCUUCUUGAGUUCCUGGCUUAUCACCAUCGACCAGGAGACUAUGUUACCACUGAGUCUGCUGUUUGGACUGCAGAACAAGGUUGGACCCAUCCCACUCGGGUUGGGGGUGUACCACCAGCCUCUCUGGGUGGAGACACCUCAUUUUGGAUGGCCAUUUCAGGACAUAGCCCCUUAAAGUUAACACCAAAGAAACUGUAAGCUGUCUAUUUGCUUUAGGGCUCUGGCAAAUUGCAGGGGAAAUGUGUAUAAUCAGGAUCAUGCUUACCCAGUUAACUUAUUGAUUAUAGAUAACUUGAAUGACCUGGAUAUUUCAGCCUUUAGGCCAAGAGAUUGGCUAGGACUACAUUUAGGAGUAGAUGUUACAGGACAAGAUCCCCUAGACCAGUGGUCGGCAAACUGCGGCUCGCAAGCCACAUGUGGCUCUUUGACCCCUUGAGUGUGGCUCUUCCACAA